CAAGAGACACUGAGAAUUAGGGGCGAAGAAGGCUGUUCAGUUAAGGAGGGGACAUGGCCCUGGAGGAGUAGGCUGUGCCCUGGUGGGAGGGGAAAGGGUGGCCCUCCUCUGCCCUGGGUCUAAGGCCAGAAGGCUCCAUUGUCUCUAGUCUGACCUGCUGCAUGACACCAGUCAUAGGACUUCCCGGUGUUAAUUAAUUCCUGCUUCCAGUCCAAUAGCUGUGGCUGAACUAGAGCAGACCUUUUGGAAAAACGUCCAGUCCGGAUUUAAAAAUGUCCAGUGAUGGAGAAUUCACCACAGCCCUCGGAUCACGUCCGCCCUUUUGGUCACAGUAUUGCACUGGAAGCUCACAUUCAACUGAUUAUCCGUCAUGAUGACCCCUGAAGUCUUUUUCACAAUCACUGCUUCCCAGAGCUUACUUCCUCUGGCACCUGGAACACGCUGAAACCAGAGCCUUCUGCCAACUGGGCAUUUAAAGAGGAAGAAAUUCAGGAAAUACAUGACUGUAUGGGAACCAUUCUGGUAUCGGUUCCACAGGUGUAAAGAACCGUAGAGGUACAAGCGGCAGAGAUCUGGCCAUCAGGUGCUAGAGGAACAUGGUGGCUACAUUUGCAGCACUACCAAUUCCUGGAACUCCUGAUCUCAAGCAGCGCUAAGUUGAAGUGCUGCUGUCUCCUGGAAAAGUGUAUGAAACAUUCCUUUAUUUAAGGCAUUAUUUUAUUUUGCCAAUGUGUCAGCCCAGAGAGUGGGUGUAUGUAUUCUAUCAGCAGGUGGGAAAAGGACAAGGCAAAACUCUUUGUGACUUUAUUUCACCUGUGAAGGUUGCUGAGGAUGGAACAGGUGAUAAUGGAGGGACCAGUGACCCUGAAGACAAAUAUCACUUCUGCCGGGUAGCUGGGUGGAUUUUUGAAAAUAGGCAGUCUGCUAGUACAGCACAGCUAUCCUGCACUCUAAUGACAAUAUCUCUCUGUGAGGAGGGGAAUUCUUGUGUCUGCUCUCUGGCCUCUCAGUUCCUGACUUUUACCCAGGAUGCUGUGGCUAGUUCAGUCCCUUGGACGCUUUUAUUCAGUUUUUGAGCUCUUAAUUAAAAGGUGGGUCCAAUGAACACAUUCCCACACUAGAUCCUAGCAUUGUGCUGGGGCACAUUUGCAUGAAAAACAGGAUCUUUGCUUCUUGAGAGUUCAUCCUUAUUCUUGCUCCUUUAUUCCUUGUCUGGAGUGAUGACCCUUUGCUGGCUGUGACAUCAGAAUUGAUGGCUGGAGAAAUGAUUGAUUUCACAGGUUAAGGAUUAUGACCUGAAAUGGUGGGAGAGGGAAAGUGGCUGAGCAGAUGCCUGAAGGAGGCAGGGGGGAUGGAUGGCUUUGCCAAUAAAGGUGGAAGGAGCAAAUUUGUGAAUAUAUAGCUCUCUUUGCACAAGCAAAAUUUCCAGUCGUCAGCAGGAGCUUUGCCUGAGUAAGUGCAGAGAAGCUGAAAGUUUUGCAGCUGAAAUGUUUUUCAGGUUUGCCAUAUCAAUUGGUUGGUUGGUUGGUUUUUUUUUUUGUUUUCAAUGCAGCAAUUCUUGGUUCCCAGGAUGUAGAGGGGAGUUGGGUUGUUUUGUUUGCAUUACCCCCACAUAGACACAGUAAAAUUGUGUCCAUCCUGGACACCCAGCUUUUUGUUGCCUCUUGUAUGGUAGCUAGCUCUUGGCCUUGCAUUUCAAUUCCUUAUAGCCUGAUCCAAGUUUUGUUUUCAUAUUCCAUUUCUUUGCAGGCCUCCUUCAAAGUUAUAGUCCUCUCACUGGUGACUUUUUGCACCUGCCUCAACAUCUUACAGUAUUUCACUUUUGUACAUUGUGUAGAGGUCUCAGCCUUUGGGUUUCACGCAUUGUUAUUGCUUGUAAAGGUCUUGAUUGUUAAUCUGAGUGCAGAAGCUGGGUAUGGUCACAGUGCAGACCUUUUUUGGCCACAUCUGCUUCCCUCUCAAGGCUCAAUGAAUUCUGGACAGGGAUUUCAUUACCCGGCUGCACAAUCUGCCAACACAACCUUGUCAUUGUAAUUUGUCACACAUAUUUUAUAUGUGUUCUGUAUUUCACUGAAGUCGCAUUUCCCAGGCAAUUCAUAUACAGGCUACUUGUUUGGUACAUAGAUCAACUUCAUGUGUCCUUGGCCAACAUUGUGUUUUCACCUACAGUUGUGCCACAUGUUGGUGGAGGUUGGCUGCCUGUCUUUACCCUAGAAGUGGUUGCAUUUCAGUGGAGCAUUGUGUCCCUUUGAUACAAUGUGCUUUGAGUUCUACAUGUAAAAUAGAAAUGGGCUUGAGCCAAGAAUAUAGAUCUAACUAGAGCUGGUCAACCUUUUUCUGUAAAAGGUCUAUUUAUUUUAAUGGAAGAUAGCUAUUUUAC